rnacentral:piRNA from 3 species
CACGCGGGAGGCCCGGGUUCGAUUCC